GGCGAGAUGGCCGAGCGGUCUAAGGCGCUGUGUUAAGGUUGUUCCUCUCUCUUCUCGAAGAGCAUGUCAAUCCGCAGUCUUCGGACGUGGGUUCGAAUCCCACUCUCGUCA